rnacentral:rRNA from 1 species
UACGGGGGGGGGGCAAGCGUUGUUCGGAAUUACUGGGCGUAAAGGGCUCGUAGGUGGCCAACUAAGUCGGACGUGAAAUCCCUCGGCUUAACCGGGGAACUGCGUCUGAUACUGGAUGGCUUGAGUUCGGGAGAGGGAUGCGGAAUUCCAGGUGUAGCGGUGAAAUGCGUAGAUAUCUGGAGGAACACCGGUGGCGAAGGCGGCAUCCUGGACCGACACUGACGCUGAGGAGCGAAAGCCAGGGGAGCAAACGGG